rnacentral:rRNA from 1 species
GCAAACGUUAUUCGGAAUCACUGGGCCUAAAGGGCGCGAAGGCGGCUCCACAAGUCAGGGGUGAAAUCCGGCAGCUUAACUGUCGCAGUGCCUUUGAUACUGUGGAGCUAGAGGGAGGUAGGGGUCUGUGGAACUUCCGGUGGAGCGGUGAAAUGCGUUGAUAUCGGAAGGAACGCCGGUGGCGAAAGCGACGGACUGGAUCUCUUCUGACGCUGAGGCGCGAAAGCCAGGGGAGCAAACGGG